GAUGAAGAACGCAGCGAAAUGCGAUAAGUAGUGUGAAUUGCAGAAUUUAGUGAAUCAUCGAAUCUUUGAACGCACAUUGCGCCCUUUGGUAUUCCUUAGGGCAUGCCUGUUCGAGCGUCAUCUACACCCUCAAGCACAGCUUGGUGAUGGGCGCCUGUCCCGCCCCCCACGGGGGCGCGGACUCGCCUCAAAUGCAUUGGCGGCCGGCGACCUGGCUUCGAGCGCAGCAGAAACGCGUACUCGGGGACCGGGCGCCCGCUCCCAGAAGCCAACCCACCCAGUUUGACCUCGGAUCAGGUAGGGAUACCCGCUGAACUUAAGCAUAUCAAUAAGCGGAGG
rnacentral:misc_RNA from 1 species